UACGGAGGGUGCAAGCGUUAUCCGGAUUCACUGGGUUUAAAGGGUGCGUAGGAGGGCAGGUAAGUCAGUGGUGAAAUCUCCAAGCUUAACUUGGAACUGCCGUUGAUACUAUCUGUCUUGAAUACCGUGGAGGUGAGCGGAAUAUGUCAUGUAGCGGUGAAAUGCUUAGAUAUGACAUAGAACACCAAUUGCGAAGGCAGCUCGCUACACGAAUAUUGACUCUGAGGCACGAAAGCGUGGGGAUCAAAC
rnacentral:rRNA from 1 species